rnacentral:rRNA from 1 species
AUCUGGAAAAUCAAAGUCCCACCCAAUAUACAUGUUUUUCUUUGGUUGAUUUACUAUAAUAAGAGCUUAACUAGAGAUAAUCUUGCCAAACGCAGGCAUGUAGACGACAUGUCCUGUGUCUUCUGCAGUGAGCCUGAAACUAUUCAGCAUCUAUUUUUUGAUUGCAUUGUUGCUAGACAUGUUGGGAUUUAG